rnacentral:rRNA from 1 species
AGAGCGAACGCUGGCGGCAGGCCUAACACAUGCAAGUCGAGCGCCCGUAGCAAUACGGGAGCGGCAGACGGGAUAGUAACACGUGGGAACGCGCCCUUCGGUUCGGAAUAACUCAGGGAAACUUGAGCUAAUACCGGAUACGCCCUUACGGGGAAAGAUUUAUUGCCGAAGGAACGGCCCGCGUCCGAUUAGCUAGUUGGUGAGGUAAUGGCUCGCCAAGGCGACGAUCGGUAGCUGGUCUGAGAGGAUGACCAGCAUCACUGGGACUGAGACACGGUCCAGACUCCUACGGGGGGCAGCAGUGGGGAAUAUUGGACAAUGGGGGCAACCCUGAUCCAGCCAUGCCGCGUGGGUGAAGAAGGCCUUCGGGUUGUAAAGCCCUUUUGUACGGGAAGAAAAGCUCUGGGUGAAUACCCUGGAGUCAUGACGGUACCGUAAGAAUAAGCACCGGCUAACUUCGUGCCAGCAGCCGC